rnacentral:rRNA from 1 species
AUACGGGGGGCACGAGCGUUGUUCGGAAUUAUUGGGCGUAAAGGGCGCGUAGGCGGCCGAUCAAGUGGUAGGUGAAAUCCCUCGGCUCAACCGAGGAACUGCCUACCAAACUGACUGGCUUGAGUCCGGGAGAGGUGAGUGGAAUUCCCAGUGUAGCGGUGAAAUGCGUAGAUAUUGGGAGGAACACCGGUGGCGAAGGCGGCUCACUGGACCGGAACUGACGCUGAGGCGCGAAAGCGUGGGGAGCAAACGGGAUUAGAAACCCCGGUAGUCC